AAAAACAUCACCUCUUGCCUUUAUAAGAGGCCAAGCCUGCCCAGUGACCCAUGUUCAACGGCCGCGGUACCCUAACCGUGCAAAGGUAGCGUAAUCACUUGUCUCUUAAAUAGAGACUUGUAUGAAAGGCUUCACGAGAGUUACACUGUCUCCUCUUUCUAAUCAGUAAACCUAAUCUCCCUGUGAAGAAGCGGGGAUAUUAAUAUAAGACGAGAAGACCCUAUGGAGCUUAAAACAUAAUAACACCUGAUUAACUUUUUCUACUAUAGUAUCUACCCUAAUUACAUGCUGAUUAUAUGUUUUCGGUUGGGGUGACCGCGGAGAAUAAUAUAUCCUCCACGAUGAAGGGGUAUAAAUCCCUAAACAACAAACCACAACUUUAAGUAUCAAAAACUUGACAUAAAUGAUCCAAUACUUUGAUCAACGAACCAAGUUACCCUAGGGAUAACAGCGCAAUCCACUUUAAAAGUCCUUAUUAACAAGUGGGCUUACGACCUCGAUGUUGGAUCAGGGUAUCCUAGUGGUGCAGCCGCUACUAAUGGUUCGUUUGUUCAACGAUUAAAACCCUACGUGAUCUG
rnacentral:rRNA from 1 species